rnacentral:rRNA from 1 species
GUGGGGAAUUUUGGACAAUGGGCGAAAGCCUGAUCCAGCAAUGCCGCGUGUGUGAAGAAGACCUUCGGGUUGUAAAGCACUUUUGUCCGGAAAGAAAUCCUCUGGGUUAAUACCUCGGGGGGAUGACGGUACCGGAAGAAUAAGCACCGGCUAACUACGUGCCAGCAGCC